rnacentral:rRNA from 1 species
AAAUUGAAGAGUUUGAUCAUGGCUCAGAUUGAACGCUGGCGGCAGGCCUAACACAUGCAAGUCGAGCGGUAACACAGAGAGCUUGCUCUCGGGUGACGAGCGGCGGACGGGUGAGUAAUGUCUGGGAAACUGCCUGAUGGAGGGGGAUAACUACUGGAAACGGUAGCUAAUACCGCAUAACGUCGCAAGACCAAAGUGGGGGACCUUCGGGCCUCAUGCCAUCAGAUGUGCCCAGAUGGGAUUAGCUAGUAGGUGGGGUAACGGCUCACCUAGGCGACGAUCCCUAGCUGGUCUGAGAGGAUGACCAGCCACACUGGAACUGAGACACGGUCCAGACUCCUACGGGAGGCAGCAGUGGGGAAUAUUGCACAAUGGGCGCAAGCCUGAUGCAGCCAUGCCGCGUGUGUGAAGAAGGCCUUCGGGUUGUAAAGCACUUUCAGCGGGGAGGAAGGCGAUAAGGUUAAUAACCUUGUCGAUUGACGUUACCCGCAGAAGAAGCACCGGCUAACUCCGUGCCAGCAGCCGCGGUAAUACGGAGGGUGCAAGCGUUAAUCGGAAUUACUGGGCGUAAAGCGCACGCAGGCGGUCUGUCAAGUCGGAUGUGAAAUCCCCGGGCUCAACCUGGGAACUGCAUUCGAAACUGGCAGGCUAGAGUCUUGUAGAGGGGGGUAGAAUUCCAGGUGUAGCGGUGAAAUGCGUAGAGAUCUGGAGGAAUACCGGUGGCGAAGGCGGCCCCCUGGACAAAGACUGACGCUCAGGUGCGAAAGCGUGGGGAGCAAACAGGAUUAGAUACCCUGGUAGUCCACGCCGUAAACGAUGUCGAUUUGGAGGUUGUGCCCUUGAGGCGUGGCUUCCGGAGCUAACGCGUUAAAUCGACCGCCUGGGGAGUACGGCCGCAAGGUUAAAACUCAAAUGAAUUGACGGGGGCCCGCACAAGCGGUGGAGCAUGUGGUUUAAUUCGAUGCAACGCGAAGAACCUUACCUGGUCUUGACAUCCACAGAACUUAGCAGAGAUGCUUUGGUGCCUUCGGGAACUGUGAGACAGGUGCUGCAUGGCUGUCGUCAGCUCGUGUUGUGAAAUGUUGGGUUAAGUCCCGCAACGAGCGCAACCCUUAUCCUUUGUUGCCAGCGGUUAGGCCGGGAACUCAAAGGAGACUGCCAGUGAUAAACUGGAGGAAGGUGGGGAUGACGUCAAGUCAUCAUGGCCCUUACGACCAGGGCUACACACGUGCUACAAUGGCAUAUACAAAGAGAAGCGACCUCGCGAGAGCAAGCGGACCUCAUAAAGUAUGUCGUAGUCCGGAUUGGAGUCUGCAACUCGACUCCAUGAAGUCGGAAUCGCUAGUAAUCGUAGAUCAGAAUGCUACGGUGAAUACGUUCCCGGGCCUUGUACACACCGCCCGUCACACCAUGGGAGUGGGUUGCAAAAGAAGUAGGUAGCUUAACCUUCGGGAGGGCGCUUACCACUUUGUGAUUCAUGACUGGGGUGAAGUCGUAACAAGGUAACCGUAGGGGAACCUGCGGUUGGAUCACCUCCUUA